rnacentral:snRNA from 1 species
UCACUCUUGUUUCUCUGCAUCACGCAUAAAUCUUUCGCCUUUUACUAAAGAUUUCCGUGCAGAGGAACACUCAUUGAGUUUAAACUCAAUUUUUCACAGCCCUUGAGAAAAUCAAGGGU